rnacentral:pre_miRNA from 1 species
AAUAAACCAAUUUUCCACUUUUUACCUUUAAUUUUUGACUCUUCGUCUUAUUUAAUUUUUUUGCGAUUGAUAUUUUUAUUUUUAUUAGAUGAUAAAUCAUGAAUAGUACUUUACGUGUAACUAAUUUUUUUUAAAUUUCUUAAAAAAUUUUCAAAUAAGACGGAUGGUCAAACGUUAGACACGGAAAACAGAGAAUUCGUUUUUU